AAGGACUACACUACCCAGCAUGCAACAGGAGUGACGAGCAUGCGCGGUAGACCGGUAAAAACGGGGUGGUGUGUCGCCAUUUUGUGAUAUGCUCGCUCUGAAAGUAAACUUUUAAGAAGUCAGCCAACAAAUAAACGCAACCCCAAUUCAAAACGCCGGACAUUUGACGCAUUUAAAAAGGACACGCCGGACAACGCCGCAAAAGAGGACAUGUCCGGGGAAAAGAGGACGUAUGGCCAGCCUAUCCCUCGCCCGUUUACAAGUUAAAGUCAGCAUGCUGGUGGGGCUGACAUCCGCGCUCCAUACGUCUGUCGUGAAGCUGAAGUGAACAUCAUCAACUUUAACCAAGAGCUCGUGGACGCGAGCUGCAACACUGUCAUACAUCUCCGGUGUCUGCUGCACCUGCACGUCCUGGGCGUGGCGCCACUGAGGUGGUACAGUCCAGCGACUCCUGGUGCCGGCCUCCAUCUGCAGCAGCGUCCAUGCCGUGCUGACCACGUGGGCCCAGGUCAGCAGCUCGCCCGGCGUCCUCUUCCCCCUCGCCCGACGACUGCUGCCGGUAAUCACCGUGGGCCUGAGCUUUGCGCCACGCCUCCGUGCCGCUCUCCAUCCUGACCGGGUGCUCCACUGCCAUACCGGUGUGAGAAGAACACUUUGGUUUGCGUGAAAGAUGAAUGGAAACCAGUUGCAGGUUUUUCAAGUGUUUUUUAGCCUGUCUCCCACCUGUCCAGCUAGUGCACAGGUGUCCAACUCAAGGCCUGGGGGCCAGUCGUGGUCCGCCGCUUCAUUGUAUUUGGCCCUGGAAAAGUAUGUAUCAAAGUACUGUAGCUUUUCUUACUAAAUUGAUUUUUUCUUUCUGUUUUGGGAGAAAAAAUAUCUAUAUUUGUACUCCAUGUAAUCGCAAGUGUUGUUCACUUAAAUACCAUCUACUUAUGCCAAAAUAUACGAACAAACAUUCAAAGCAUUUUAACAUAGAAAUAAAUACUAAUGAUACUGAUUUCAAAGCAAGUAAUCCCUCAAAGUAAGAGUAGUAAUAGAUUUCAUGGCCAAAUUGUGAAAUUUACUGUGCUUUUUACAGCAUUUUUCUCUAAAUAAAAAAACAACCUUCUGUUUAAUAAA